CCUACGGGAGGCAGCAGUAGGGAAUCUUCCACAAUGGACGAAAGUCUGAUGGAGCAACGCCGCGUGAGUGAAGAAGGGUUUCGGCUCGUAAAGCUCUGUUGGUAGGGAAGAAAGAUAGAGGAAGUAACUGGCCUUUAUUUGAUGGUACUUACUUAGAAAGUCACGGCUAACGACGUGACAGCAGCCGCGGUAAAACGUAGGUGGCAAGCGUUGUCCGGAUUUAUUGGGCGUAAAGCGAGUGCAGGCGGUUCAAUAAGUCUGAUGUGAAAGCCUUCGGCUCAACCGGAGAAUUGCAUCAGAAACUGUUGAGCUUGAGUGCAGAAGAGGUGAGUGGAACUCCAGGUGUAGCGGUGGAAUGCGUAGAUAUAUGGAAGAACACCAGUGGCGAAGGCGGCUCUCUGGUCUACAACUGACGCUGAGGCUCGAAAGCGUGGGUAGCGAACAGGAUUAGAUACCCCAGUAGUC
rnacentral:rRNA from 1 species